rnacentral:rRNA from 1 species
CCUGAGAAACCCAAAAGAUCGAAUGGGGAGAUUCAUCGUCAAUGCAUUUGGUAUAUGUAUAAGUUAUGAUGAUAAUAAUUUUAUUCUUGUAAUAUUAUAUUAUUACAUACUUGUGUCAUUUAAUUGCUGAAUGUUUGUCGGCGUGCACUUCUCCCCUAGUAGGACGUCGCGACCCGUUGGGUGUCGGUCUACGGCCUAAAUGGUAGUCUUUAAUAUAUGAAAUAUUGUUAAAGGUAUUUCUUUUUAAUAUUAAAGACCAUUAGUGUUUUCUGAUCCGACUGCCCGACGGUAUUCGUAUGGUAUUGAGCCGCAAUUAUAUAAUGCGUCGAAUAUGUAACAAGCAUAAUCAGUGAUUUAUAAUAACCUAGCAGUACGGAGUUUGUGCCGUCGCAAGGCCUGAUUAGCUGUUGGUUUACAAUUAUCUUUGACUGGCUCGAAAUUUGAAUAAUAAUAAUAUUACCGGUCAGCGACGCUACUGCUUUGGGUACUUUCAGGACCCGUCUUGAAACACGGACCAAGGAGUCUAACAUGUACGCGAGUCAUUGGGAUUGAAUUUUUUUUCUAAUUAAAUUAAACCUAAAGGCGUAAUGAAAGUGAAGGUUAUUAUUUAUUAAUAACUUAGGGAGGAUGAGUUAUGUAAUUUUAACAUGAUUCCGCACUCCCGGGGCGUCUCAUUCACAUUAUGCGAAGAGGCGCACCCAGAGCGUACACGUUGGGACCCGAAAGAUGGUGAACUAUGCCUGGUCAGGAUGAAGUCAGGGGAAACCCUGAUGGAGGUCCGUAGCGAUUCUGACGUGCAAAUCGAUCGUCGGAACUGGGUAUAGGGGCGAAAGACUAAUCGAACCAUCUAGUAGCUGGUUCCCUCCGAAGUUUCCCUCAGGAUAGCUGGCACUCGUGAAAGUUUUUUCAAUUUAAUUAUAAACUUAUAUGAGUCUCAUCUGGUAAAGCGAAUGAUUAGAGGCCUUGGGGCCGAAACGACCUCAACCUAUUCUCAAACUUUAAAUGGGUGAGAUCUCUGGCUUGCUUGAAUAUGGAAUAUAUAUAUAUUUAUAUAUAUAUAUUUUGAAGCCAUGAGAUAUCGGAUCAGAGUGCCAAGUGGGCCAAUUUUGGUAAGCAGAACUGGCGCUGUGGGAUGAACCAAACGCUGAGUUAAGGCGCCAAAGUCGACGCUUAUGGGAUACCAUGAAAGGCGUUGGUUGCUUAAGACAGCAGGACGGGGNNNNNNNNNNNNNNNNNNNNNNNNNNNNNNNNNNNNNNNNNNNNNNNNNNNNNNNNNNNNNNNNGGCGCUGAAGCGUCGCGCCUAUACUCAGCCGUCAGUGGCAAAUUAAAAUAUUAAUAUAUUUAUGAAGCUCUGACGAGUAGGAGGGUCGCGGCGGUGUGCGCAGAAGGGUCUGGGCGUGAGCCUGCCUGGAGCCGCCGUCGGUGCAGAUCUUGGUGGUAGUAGCAAAUACUCCAGCGAGGCCCUGGAGGACUGACGUGGAGAAGGGUUUCGUGUGAACAGCCGUUGCACACGAGUCAGUCGAUCCUAAGCCCUAGGAGAAAUCCAAUGUUGAUGACGGUGUUACAAAGUUACAAUAAUAAUUAUAAUAAUAAUAUAAAAAGUAUACACCCGUCGGGCGAAAGGGAAUCCGGUUCCUAUUCCGGAACCCGGCAGCGGAACCGCAUACAAUUCGGGCCCUCGUAAGAGUGCUCGUCGGGGUAACCCAAAAUGACCUGGAGACGCCGUCGGGAGAUCCGGAAAGAGUUUUCUUUUCUGUAUAAGCGUUCGAGUUCCCUGGAAACUUUUAGCAAGGAGAUAGGGUUUGGAACGCGAAGAGCACCGCAGUUGCGGCGGUGUCCGGAUCUUCCCCUCGGACCUUGAAAAUCCAGGGGAGGGCCACGUGGAGGUGUCGCGCCGGUUCGUACCCAUAUCCGCAGCAGGUCUCCAAGGUAAAAAGCCUCUAGUCGAUACUANNNNNNNNNNNNNNNNNNNNNNNNNNNNNNNNNNNNNNNNNNNNNNNNNNNNNNNNNNNNNNGGGAAGUCGGCAAAUUGGAUCCGUAACUUCGGAAUAAGGAUUGGCUCUGAGGAGCGGGGCGCGUCGGGCUUGGUCGGGAAGUGGGAUUGGCUGACGAGCCGGGCCUGGACAAGAUUUUAUUCUGUUAUCUGUUAUGGAUUUCAGAUAAAUUGAAUUCGGUCCCGUGCCUUAGCUUCCCAUGGAUCUUCCUAGCUGUGAGAUUUUUAUGGUGUUGUUAAGACAUUGUAAUUAUUCUCUUCGGCCGCCAUUCAACGCUCAGCUCAGAACUGGCACGGACUAGGGGAAUCCGACUGUCUAAUUAAAACAAAGCAUUGCGAUGGCCCCCAAGGGUGAUGACGCAAUGUGAUUUCUGCCCAGUGCUCUGAAUGUCAACGUGAAGAAAUUCAAGAAAGCGCGGGUAAACGGCGGGAGUAACUAUGACUCUCUUAAGGUAGCCAAAUGCCUCGUCAUCUAAUUAGUGACGCCUGCAUGAAUGGAUGAACGAGAUUCCUACUGUCCCUAUCUACUUUCUAGCGAAACCACUGCCAAGGGAACGGGCUUGGAAAAAUUAGCGGGGAAAGAAGACCCUGUUGAGCUUGACUCUAGUCUGGCACUGUAAGGAGACAUGAGAGGUGUAGUAUAAGUGGGAGAUGGCAACAUCGACGGUGAAAUACCACUACUUUCAUCGUUUCUUUACUUACUCGGUUAGGCGGAAAGCGUGCGUCGUGGACUUAUAAUCCCGGCUGUCACGGUAUUCUAGAGCCAAGCGUGUAAGAGUGGUGUGCGGCUCGCAAGGGCCAAUCACCGUUAUAUNNNCCC